ensembl:snRNA U2 U2 spliceosomal RNA
AUCGCUUCUCGGCCUUUUGGCUAAGAUCAACUGUGUAGAACUGUAUAUACUGUAUAGAAUUGUAUGUAUUGUAUAGAAUUGCAUAUAUAUAUAUACUUGCUUGCAUGUGUAUUUUCUGUCUCAUAUGCUUGUUUAUUAUCUCCACAAGUUCAUGGACCCUCU